GGAAAGGGCGGGGCGGCCGUUCUUGGCCCCGCCCCUCGCCGGCCCGCCACGAGGUCGUGGCUGCGAGCCGACGCGAGGCGCUGCGGAGCCGGCGGGUCGCCCGGCCGGCCUUGCACCCCGCGGGGACGCGGAGUUCAAAGGGCAGCGGGCCGGGCGAGGGGAGGAUUGUCCCCUUCGCGCCCCACCGCGAGCCGGGGCCCCGCAGUGAGCACGACAGGCAGGGCGGGGGAUGGACAGCCGCUGGCGGCCGCUGCCUGGGCUGGGUGGCCCGGGAGGGACAGAGGACGGGCGGGACCGGGGGGUCCGCCUAGAGCGGGCCGACGGCUCAAAGCCAGGCCGGGCCGCCCACCCCCGGAGCCCCCGCUGCCGGUCGCCGCCCACCCCGCUCGCCUGCGUCGGGCAGAACCUCCCCUUUCCCGGCCCAGCAGAGGAGCCCGCAUUGGCAGAGGCCGCCGUUCUGUGCACAGGGACAUUGAAGACGGCCCGGAGGACCCUGGGCGCAGCGGAGUCACCUGAACACAUGCGCGGUGAGUGCGGCGCCUGGUGAAGCUGACAACCGCGCGGCGCGGCCUGGCAGAUGGACCCUGCACAGGCUGUCUGAUACGCGCACUAAGGCUUCCUUUGCUUCAGCCCUUCCUCCCUUGAGGUCCAAGCUCUCUCCUUCUGCAGGCUUUCUCCUUGUGGCCGGGAGAGAUGGCCGAAGCCGCCACCCACCCCGUUACACUCGCAGCAGGAAGACUUCUCCCUGAGCCUAUAAGAACACACUGGUUUGCACACGCCUGGGCAUGUGGGCAGGAAGGGGCAGCGCCUUAGACCUUCUAGAACCACACCUCGGGAAGUUGCGGGUUCCCUGGGUGGCAGCAGGAAGAGGCCUGAGAUGAAAGCCCCCCGCCAUUCCCCCGCGAGGUGAGCAAGGGCUGCCCACCAAGGUAACGGGCGCGGGCGCAGGCACAGGCAGCGCGCACACACUCCCGUCACAGUCAGAGGGCUUUUAUUAGGAAAUCCCCGCCAACACCCCGAGAAGUACUGUGCUGUGGGUUCCACCGUUUCCUGAGGAAGAGGGUCACAGUAUGAGCUCAGAGGGCUGGGCCAGUGGGCGGGCGACUGCUCAGCGCCGCGGCCAGCACCCCCAGCGACAGGACUCGCCAUCACGAUCUGCACACGGACGCCGCACGACACACAGCUGCGCUACACACAUCAACACAAACACAGAGCUGCUGGGCCUGCAACAAAGGGAGCGAACGGGAGAGAGAACCGAGUCUUCCCACUGGACCCCGGGAGGGCCACCCCGGCCACCAGCUCCUCCGCUGCUAAACACUCAAAACUCCAUUAUUAAAAGAAUAAAUAACAAAAUAUAUUAAAAAUAAUUUGAUUGCAUCAAAAUUAUAACGAAGUUAUAGCAAGAUUUCCUGUAUGUGUGGCCUACCUCAUAGUCAAAUCAUUAAUUUUGCUUUGAUUUCAUUUCUCUCUUGUGGUAUCCUGGCAUGUGGGGGCUACUUCAAACAGUAUAAAAUUAAUAAAUAAAAAUGUCAAAUAAAUAGCAAACGUUAACAUAAAAGAGGUUGUGAAUAUAAAUACUUACAUCUUGACAAAAUUAAAUAAUUUACAGAAUAAUUAAACUAACUACUUUUUUUAUUUCUUCCAGAAAGAGCAAUUUCUCUACUUGUAAAUACUAACUUGGAAUUGCAGUCACAACUGAUUUGGACUCUAUUUACAUGUAGGAACAUUGUGUUUUUAACACAUUAAAUUAAAAUUUACCUUUUUUCACAUCUUUA